GACGAACGCUGGCGGCGUGCCUAACACAUGCAAGUCGAACGGAGGUAUUUAUUUCGGUAGAUAUCUUAGUGGCGAACGGGUGAGUAACGCGUGAGCAACCUGACCUAAAGAGGGGGAUAACAUUCGGAAACGGAUGCUAAUACCGCAUAAGACCACAUUGUCACAUGACAGAGGGGUCAAAGGAGAGAUCCGCUUUGGGAGGGGCUCGCGUCCCAUUAGGUAGUUGGUGAGGUAACGGCUCACCAAGCCUGCGAUGGGUAGCCGAGCUGAGAGGCUGAACGGCCACACUGGAACUGAGACACGGUCCAGACUCCUACGGGAGGCUG
rnacentral:rRNA from 1 species